CGUAGGGUGCAAGCGUUGUCCGGAAUUAUUGGGCGUAAAGAGCUCGUAGGCGGUCUGUCGCGUCGGCUGUGAAAACUCGGGGGCUCAACCCCGAGCCUGCAGUCGAUACGGGCAGACUAGAGUGCGGUAGGGGAGACUGGAAUUCCUGGUGUAGCGGUGAAAUGCGCAGAUAUCAGGAGGAACACCGGUGGCGAAGGCGGGUCUCUGGGCCGUAACUGACGCUGAGGAGCGAAAGCGUGGGGAGCAAACAGGAUUAGAUACCCUGGUAGUCCACGCCGUAAACGGUGGGUGCUAGGUGUAGGCGGUAUUCCACGCCGUCUGUGCCGCAGCUAACGCAUUAAGCACCCCGCCUGGGGAGUACGGCCGCAAGGCUA
rnacentral:rRNA from 1 species